rnacentral:rRNA from 1 species
GUGCUAAUACAUGCAAGUCGAACGCUUCUUUUUCCACCGGAGCUUGCUCCACCGGAAAAAGAGGAGUGGCGAACGGGUGAGUAACACGUGGGUAACCUGCCCAUCAGAAGGGGAUAACACUUGGAAACAGGUGCUAAUACCGUAUAACAAUCAAAACCGCAUGGUUUUGAUUUGAAAGGCGCUUUCGGGUGUCGCUGAUGGAUGGACCCGCGGUGCAUUAGCUAGUUGGUGAGGUAACGGCUCACCAAGGCCACGAUGCAUAGCCGACCUGAGAGGGUGAUCGGCCACAUUGGGACUGAGACACGGCCCAAACUCCUACGGGAGGCAGCAGUAGGGAAUCUUCGGCAAUGGACGAAAGUCUGACCGAGCAACGCCGCGUGAGUGAAGAAGGUUUUCGGAUCGUAAAACUCUGUUGUUAGAGAAGAACAAGGAUGAGAGUAACUGUUCAUCCCUUGACGGUAUCUAACCAGAAAGCCACGGCUAACUACGUGCCAGCAGCCGCGGUAAUACGUAGGUGGCAAGCGUUGUCCGGAUUUAUUGGGCGUAAAGCGAGCGCAGGCGGUUUCUUAAGUCUGAUGUGAAAGCCCCCGGCUCAACCGGGGAGGGUCAUUGGAAACUGGGAGACUUGAGUGCAGAAGAGGAGAGUGGAAUUCCAUGUGUAGCGGUGAAAUGCGUAGAUAUAUGGAGGAACACCAGUGGCGAAGGC